rnacentral:rRNA from 1 species
ACGUAGGGACCAAGCGUUGUUCGGAUUUACUGGGCGUAAAGGGCGCGUAGGCGGCGCGGUAAGUCACUUGUGAAAUCUCUGAGCUUAACUCAGAACGGCCAAGUGACACUGCAGUGCUAGAGUGUGGAAGGGGCAAUCGGAAUUCUUGGUGUAGCGGUGAAAUACGUAGAUAUCCGGAGGAACACCGGUGGCGAAGGCGGCUUCCUGGACCGACACUGACGCUGAGGCGCGAAAGCUAGGGGAGCAAACGGGA